rnacentral:rRNA from 1 species
GACAAUGGGCGCAAGCCUGAUCCAGCCAUGCCGCGUGCAGGAAGACGGCCCUAUGGGUUGUAAACUGCUUUUAUACAGGAAGAAACACCUCCUCGUGAGGGGGCUUGACGGUACUGUAAGAAUAAGGAUCGGCUAACUCCGUGCCAGCGGCCGCGGUAAUACGGAGGAUCCAAGCGUUAUCCGGAAUCAUUGGGUUUAAAGGGUCCGUAGGUGGACUACUAAGUCAGAGGUGAAAUCCCACAGCUUAACUGUGGCACUGCCUUUGAUACUGGUAGUCUUGAGUCAUUAUGAAGUGGUUAGAAUAUGUAGUGUAGCGGUGAAAUGCUUAGAUAUUACAUAGAAUACCGAUUGCGAAGGCAGAUCACUAAUAAUGUACUGACACUGAUGGACGAAAGCGUGGGUAGCGAACAGGAUUAGAUACCCUGGUAGUCCACGCCGUAAACGAUGGUUACUAGCUGUUUGGACUUCGGUCUGAGUGGCUAAGCGAAAGUGAUAAGUAACCCACCUGGGGAGUACGUCGGCAACGAUGAAACUCAAAGGAAUUGACGGGGGCCCGCACAAGCGGUGGAGCAUGUGGUUUAAUUCGAUGAUACGCGAGGAACCUUACC